UAUAUACUCCCUCCGUCCCAAAAUACUUGUCAUCAAAAUGGAUGAAAACUUGAAAAGAGAUGUAUCUAAAACUAAAAUAUGUCUAGAUACAUCCUCUUCUAUUCAUUUUGAUGACAAGUAUUUCCGGACGGAGGGAGUACUAA
rfam:Triticum aestivum genome assembly, contig: Triticum_aestivum_CS42_TGACv1_scaffold_513182_6BS